rnacentral:rRNA from 1 species
AUGUGUUUGUGGAGCCGAGCGAGGUGCCCGCGUGUGGUCUGCUUCGCCAUCCACUCCUGCUACUCAGCACACUGCACACACCCCAGCUCGAUCGUCCCACCGUCCCCUCCUUCCUCCGGCGAGAUGCUCCUCUCGGAGCUCCCGACUCCACCCCGCCCAUGGCGCCCCCGCGUUCGAGAAGCCCAUUCCGCUCGCCCUCGCCACCUCCCUCUCCCCGGCUCCCACACCGCGGCCUUACCGAGAAGGCGCCACCUCCUCCUGUCCCCUUCCGCGACUCCGUCCGACGACCCCGCGCUCCCUCCGGCGAGGCGACCGUCCCGCCCGAAGAGGGCGUCGGGUGAGGGCGAGGGGUGGAUGAAGAAGGCGGUGCCGCCCGCGCCCGUCACGCGCGGGCUCUCCAGCCCCGUCCCCGAGGAGCCGCUGUCGCCGCUCCGGUGGACGGCCGGGCGGCAGGCGCGCGCCGCGUGGCGGAAGGCGACGUCGUUGGUGCCCAGGAGGGCCAGGAGCGUCAUCCUGCUCAACCUGCUCGUCCUCAUAUUUGCAAGCAACAUUUCUAUUGUCAAAGAAGCACAGACUAUGUUGGAUCCUGACCUUUUCAAUAUCAUACGCUUCACUAUUGCGGCCAUUCCUUUUGUGCCAUUCUUGUUGAAGUCACUCAGAGACAUGCAAGUUGUUCUUAGGGGCGUAGAGCUGGGGGUUUGGGUAACCUUGGCCUACCUCACUCAAUCUAUUGGGUUAGUUACAGCUGAUGCUGGCCGUGCAUCUUUCAUAUCCGCCCUCACAGUGAUCAUUGUUCCUUUCUUGGAUGGUAUUCUUGGAGCAGAAAUACCUGCAUAUACAUGGCUUGGAGCAUUUUUAUCAGUUCUCGGGGUUGGUAUUCUGGAGUUAAGUGGUUCUCCACCAUGUGUUGGUGAUCUUCUGACCCUCCUUAGUGCCUUUUGUUUUGGAAUUCACAUGCUCAGAACCGAGCAUAUUUCCAGGAAAAUGAAGAAAGAAAAUUUCCUACCGCUUGUUGGAUGUCAGGUGGUUGUCGUAGCUGUUGUGUCGGCAGUCUCGUUCAUUGUUAAAUGCUUCCUCCAGAAUGUGGUACCCUGGAAUUUAAAAUCAGGGACACCAACAGAGUUAUUCAGUAUGAUGUCAUCGUUUCCUUGGCUAGCAAUACUAUACACAGGCAUAAUCGCAACAACCUUUUGUUUAUGGGCAGAGAUCGUUGCUAUGCGUGAUGUAUCAGCUACAGAAACUGCAAUAAUUUAUGGUCUGGAACCAGUAUGGGGUGCUACUUUCGCAUGGGCAAUUCAUGGCGAGAGAUGGGGCAUUACUGGACUUAUUGGAGCUAUCUUCAUCAUAGCUGGUAGCUUGAUGGUUCAGGUACUGGGGUCAUUUCUUGAUAUUGAUGUAUCAGAGGACAGUUACCAGAUGAACAGCUGA